rnacentral:rRNA from 1 species
GACGAACGCUGGCGGCGUGCUUAACACAUGCAAGUCGAACGAUGAAUUUGGAGCUUGCUCUGGGGGAUUAGUGGCGAACGGGUGAGUAACACGUGAGUAACCUGCCCUGGACUCUGGGAUAACUUCGAGAAAUCGGAGCUAAUACCGGAUAGGACCUUGCACCGCAUGGUGUGGGGUGGAAAGCUUUUCGGUUUGGGAUGGACUCGCGGCCUAUCAGCUUGUUGGUGAGGUAAUGGCUCACCAAGGCGUCGACGGGUAGCCGGCCUGAGAGGGUGACCGGCCACACUGGGACUGAGACACGGCCCAGACUCCUACGGGAGGCAGCAGUGGGGAAUAUUGCACAAUGGGCGCAGGCCUGAUGCAGCAACGCCGCGUGCGGGAUGACGGCCUUCGGGUUGUAAACCGCUUUUAGUAGGGAAGAAGCCUUCGGGUGACGGUACCUGCAGAAAAAGGACCGGCUAACUACGUGCCAGCCGCCGCUGUAACAC